rnacentral:misc_RNA from 1 species
UUAACUAUUAUAUGAUUCUCGGACAACAUUAAAAAGAGUUUUAGGUCCUCUAGCAUGCACUGACCAGCCAAAGCCAGCGGCCCUAGAGCGGGCAUGCUAAAGCAACAGGUAACAUAAACAAAGGGUGGAGUUUAUCCUAUGGUGUAGCUUUUUACGGCAUACCCCAAGGAGUAAUCUCUUUAAUGAUCCUUCCGCAGGUUCACCUACGGAAA